UACAACUGAGAAACCCAGUCCACCUGAAACAGACUCCAAGUAAUGCUGCAUGCAUUUACUUGGAGUCUGUUUCAGGUGGACUGGGUUUCUGACU
rnacentral:pre_miRNA from 1 species